rnacentral:SRP_RNA from 1 species
GCCAGGCACGGUGGCUUGUGCCUGUAGUCCCAGCUACUCGGGAGGCUGAGGGUGGAGGAUCGCAUGAGUCCAGGAAUUCUGGGCUGUAGUGCACUAUGCCAAUCGGGCGUCCGCACUAAAUUUGGCAUCACUAUGGUGACCUCCCAGGAGUGGGGGACCACCAGGUUGCUUAAGGAGAAGGUGAACCGGCCCAGGUCGGAAACGGAGCAGGUCAAAACUCCCGUGCUGAUCAGUAUUGGGAUCGCGCCUGUGAAUAGCCAUUGCCCUCCAGCCUGGGCAACAUAGCAAGACCGCGUCUCUG